rnacentral:lncRNA from 1 species
UGUUAACAAGUAAAGUUCUUUGACACUUCUACCAAAAGUUGCUCGUAUCUGUUUCUUGUGAAGCAUCAAAGGUCAAUGGCGUAAUUCACCAGUAGAAUGUUUGAAGUCACAAUGAUCAAAUCUAUGCAAUCAGAAUCUACAGUAUAUAGGACAUGAACUAAAUAAAUUCUGGCUCGCCAAGGAAUUACUCCCUCCGUUCCAAAAUAGAUGACCCAACUUUAUACUAACUUCUAUUUUGAAACGGAGGGAGUAUGUGCCAAGUGCUAACAAUGCUGUAGAUAUCUACAAAUCGACAUUAUAUCCAAGAAUUUUUGACAAUUUUUUACUAUGUACAGGUCAUUUGAAUGCAUGGAAGAUCUUAUUGUUGAUUAUGAAAGUGGCGAUCUUGAUCCUCUCAACGUUAAGUUGGCUUUUGAAAAAGGAAUAUGCAAAAUAUUAGAGGUAAUUAUUGCUUCCUUAUGAGGUAGUAUCCUUGUGCCAGGUUCUCUCCUGGCGCCACCACUCUCCGUCGCUGCUGCAUUGGUCCAGGGAGGAGCAAUCUCCACUCCUGGUGGCGGCAUCGAUCUUUAUCUAGAUGUAGUGGUAGCUCGUUCCUUAUUGUCUCAUGUGGCCAUGUGUUCCUUUGGCGAGCUUCUCUCGUAUCCCUAUGGUAGCAGCAGCUUGUCUUCGUCUUCCUCGACAGCAAGGUCGUCUUCGCGGGCCAAACUGUCCGGGUGUGUAUCCUUUGUCCUCUCCUCAUUUCUGGCAUUGAUUUUGUUCGGACUUGAGCUCAUUAUCGUUGUCAAUCUCCAUCCUCGUCUGAUCUGGUCGACUUGGAGGCAUGGUUUGGCCAUCUGCAUCACCGUUCUGGCCGAAUCUGUUGAUGCCAGGUUGUGACUUUCUAACUCGUCUGGACCGCGCUGCCCGGUAUCCUCUAGAUAACAGGCGGCUCAUCUUCUUCUACUGCCACUUGUCGCUGGGCUACAUUAGCACGCCCUUGGGUGGUAGAAGCUACCCUGCAGGCUUGGCCCAUUGCAGCGGUAGCCCUUCCCGUCGUCGGCAGCUUCCCCAGAUCAGAGCUUGUUGCUGCUCUUUAUCCAGCGUCAUCGCCAGCCCGUGCAUAUCAAUAUAUCAUCACCAGCUCCCGGAACCGUCCUGCUGAUGCUGGUGUGUCGCAGCCGCUGCCACACACCAGAGGAAGAGCUGACUGCAAGUUGCGGCGCUAUCACUUGUACUGGGUGUCGGGCCUUGCUGCGAUGUUGAUGCUGGGUGAGGUUCUUCUGCACUGGGUCAUUUUUGCCAUGGUUCUACUGUCAUGUUUGCUCGAUGGUUUGUAGGGCUGGUUAUAUGUGUGCUGGUGUGCUGCUUCAGUUCUGCCUGCUCUUCUCCUCUGUUGUGCUGCAUGUUCGUCCAUAAUCACUGUUGCUGCAUCUUUGUGUUCAUUGCCAUCGUGUCCAUCAUCCAUCUGACUCCAUCCAAGUCAUCUCAUUUUGAAUCUGUAUGCAUGGUGGGGAAUUCAUCCAUUUCACUGUAAAUCAUUUAGUCACUUUUUGGGGGGUUUCCCAUGGUCUUUUCAAUUGAAUCGAGCUCGGUGCCCCUAUCAUUGUUGUUGAUGUGACUUUGCCCUCUCGAUCCUUCCUGUAGCCUUUUUUGUGACCUGACGUUGUCCGUCGCCUUCUUACUGGUCACUUGUUGCUACUUUCGACAUAUCGCUUCCUUAUCACCAUCUGCACGACUUGGCCAGAUUGUCCCUUUCAUCUUGGUCAGGAGCACCUUCGUUGGCUAAAUUAGGCAGAUAUUUAUUCUUGUUGGUUUCCAACAUCUCCAACCAAGUUGUCUGAUGAACAAUCUGUGAAAGCUUUGGAUUACCAUUUGGAGGAGUUGGUACAUUGGAAUAUUAAGGGUAUAAGUGGGUGGCACCUCUAAUGUGCAAGGGUAAGCACUUGAAAGUAUGAGGGUAGUACCUAAAUUCAGUUGCUUAAUUAACAAAAAACAUCCAGUUUAAAGGAUUGAGGUUGAAACGGUGUUUUGUGGCAUGUCCUUUUUGAAUCAGUAGAUGAACUUCUCGCCAAAAAAAAAUUCAGUAGAUGAACUGCUGAGGGGGAUUUGAUGGGUGCUUUCAGAUAUUUAAGAUUUAGUUUUUGUUCAGAUUUUUUUAUAGUUUCCUGUGGUAAUAUCCAGGCAUAUUUAAUAUAUAUACGCAAGUUUAAGUGCAUGCUGUUGGGGUACGUUGCAGAAAACAAAAAAUUUCCUACGAUUUCACCAAGAUCCAUCUAUGAGUUCAUCUAGCAACGAGUGGUUGGAUGCAUCUACGUACCUUGUAGAUCGCGAGCAGAAGCGUUCAAAGAACGGGGAUGAGGGAGUCGUACUCGACGUGAUCCAAAUCACCGGAGAUCCUAGCGCCGAACGGACGGCACCUCCGCGUUCAACACACGUACGGUCAGCGCAACGUCUCCUCCUUCUUGAUCCAGCAAGGGGGAAGGAGAGGUUGAGGAAGAUGGCUCCAGCAGCAGCACGACGGCGUGGUGGUGAUGGAGCUGCAGUACUCCGGCAGGGCUUCGCCAAGCUCUAUGGAGAAGGAGGAGGUGUUGGAGAGGGAGAGGGAGGCACCAAUGGCGUAGGUUAGAGGCCCUCCCUUCCCCCCACUAUAUAUAGGGGGCCUAGGGGGGCGUCGGCCCUAGGAGAUGCAAUCUCCUAGGGGGGCGGCGGCCAAGGGGUGGGGGGGCUUGCCCCCCAAGCAAGGGGGCGCCCCCUUUAGGGUUUCCCCCACCCUAGGCGCAUGGGCCCUAGGGGAAGUGGCGCCCCAGCCCACUUUGGGCUGGAUCCCUUCCCACUUCAGCCCAUGGGGUCCUCCGGGAUAGGUGGCCCCACCCGGUGGACCCCCGGGACCCUUUCGGUGGUCCCGGUACAAUAUCGAUGACCCUGAAACUUGCCCUGAUAGCCGAAAUAGCACUUCCUAUAUAUAAUUCUUUACCUCCGGACCAUUCCGGAACUCCUCGUGACGUCCGGGAUCUCAUCCGGGACUCCGAACAACAUUCGGGUUACUGCAUAUACAUAUCCCUACAACCCUAGCGUCACCGAACCUUAAGUGUGUAGACCCUACGAGUUCGGGAGACAUGUAGACAUGACCGAGAUCGGUCUCCGGUCAAUAACCAACAGCGGGAUCUGGAUACCCAUGUUGGCUCCCACAUACUCCUCGAUGAUCUCAUCGGAUGAACGACGAUGUCGAGGAUUCACGCAAACCCCGUAUACAAUUCCCUUUGUCAAUCGGUAUGUUACUUGCCCGAGAUUCGAUCGUCGGUAUCCCAACACCUCGUUCAAUCUCGUUACCGGCAAGUCACUUUACUCGUACCGUAAUGCAUGAUCCCGUGAUCAGACACUUGGUCACUUUGAGCUCAUUAUGAUGAUGCAUUACCGAGUGGGCCCAUAGAUACCUCUCCGUCAUAAGGAGUGACAAAUCCCAGUCUUGAUCCGUGUCAACCCAACAGACACUUUCGGAGAUACCCGUAGUAUACCUUUAUAGUCACCCAGUUAUGUUGUGACGUUUGGUACACCCAAAGCACUCCUACGGUAUCCGGGAGUUACACGAUCUCAUGGUCUAAGGAAAGGAUACUUAACAUUGGAAAAACUCUAGCAAACGAACUAUACGAUCUUAUGAUAUGUUUAGGAUUGGGUCUUGUCCAUCACAUCAUUCUUCUAAUGAUGUGAUCUCGUUAUCAAUGACAUCCAAUGUCCAUAGUCAGGAAAACAUGACUAUCUGUUGAUCAACGAGCUAGUCAACUAGAGGCUUACUAGGGACAUGUUGGUGUCUAUUAUUCACACAUGUAUUACGAUUUCCGGAUAACACAAUUAUAGCGUGAAUAAAGACAAUUAUCAUGAACAAGGAAAUAUAAUAAUAAUGCUUUUAUUAUUGCCUCUAGGGCAUAUUUCCAACACAUGCCUACUGUUUUUCCUGCAGUACCAAAAUUAUUCGAGCACACGAUAGCUAGAAACUUAGUAGAAAUGGUGUCACUCAAAAGUUUCGCUACCAAAUUUAUGUAACAUAGAAACCAAGUCAUGUGCCAGAACCAUGACAUGAUUUUGAUCUUAUGAGUUUCAACUAUAGCCUACCCCAACUUGUUUGGGACUGAAAGGCUUUGUUGUCAUUGUUGUUGUAUUAUUUGUAUGCAUGUGUAGACUUUAAAAAAUAUUUAUUUGGACACCUAAAUGUUUUCCUAAAUAAAAUUAGCUAUUUUGUUUUUAUUUCCAGCAACACUCUGUCCUGUUUUGAUAAUUCAUGCCUACGGUUUUUCCUUAAUUCCAGCAUGUUGGUACCUGCCUGAACAGCAAUGCCGAAGCCCAAGCUCUAAUUAUUGACCUUAUGGUACGGUUAUUACCCUAAACUUUUAAUAAGUUACAAUGAUUAUCUAUAUUUUUUUCUUGAAAUAAUUAUGUAUCCACUUCUUUUGGUAGAACACCUAGCGGAUUACUACUUGACUAGUGAUGUUUCAAGCUGACACUUGACAGCAUCAUUGUGAAUUUGCGGUCUUUAACACAACAUAAUUGUAUUUGUAAGUUGUAACACCACGUCAUUUGUAACAUAGGAGAGAUUUAAGAUACUAGGAGAGUAAGAGUUUGCAAUUUCUUUGGUAAGCCCUUCUCAGUUGUACAUGAGCACCUAUCAUGCAUAGCCAUCACUGAUGGGGUAACGUGACAGUUAGGUGGUGGUUAGGGGGAAUCUGCCAUUCACAAACAAGAUCAAAUUUGAGCAUAUUAGUGAAAUAAAUUUAAGCAAAAGCUACAGACGCUUACGGCUUCCCUUCUGCAACUCAUUUUCAGGGUCAUAUCAGGCGAAUAGAGUCCGUAGAUAUCCAUGAGUUUCACUGGUAGAACAGAAGUUAUCUGAUCCUGUAAGUUUGCUUGGGAAGAACGCCCAUAUAUUUAUUAUUGUGGUGCUAGAAUGUUGUUUUCCUUCAAAAAAAAAGAACAUUGUUUCCAAGGUAUUACCAUCUUUACCGCGACAUGUAUUUAUAGACUUCUGGGACAUUCUUUUUCCUUUCAGGGAUAUACUGAUGCCAGUGGGUUGAGGAGAUACUAGAUCGCCUCAGGAGUAUCACAUAUAUUUGUGCAAGUGCAAGGGGAUGCAAAUUCUUUGCGAUUUCCAUGGUGCGUCCUGGGAAAUGCAACGUGUAGAAGUAAAUAGUAUUUUUGAAUUUAUUAUGGAAGACUUUGUAGCUUGGUUUUGGCCUUGUGUGAUUCCAGUAUCACAGAAAUAAAUGCAAAAAAGUUCACAAAAGACAGUUACAGUUAAGAUAGCUGGUUCUCGCCUCAUCUCUACAG